AUUGAACGCUGGCGGCAGGCCUAACACAUGCAAGUCGAACGAGUGGCGGACGGGUGAGUAAUGUCUGGGAAUCUGGCUGAUGGAGGGGGAUAACUACGGGAAACUGUAGCUAAUACCGCGUACCAUCGGAUGAGCCCACGUGGGAUUAGGUAGUUGGUGGGGUAAAGGCUAACCAAGCGGACGCUCUCUAGCUGGUCUGAGAGGAUGGCCAGCCAAACUGGGACGUAGACACGGCCCAGCCUCCUACGGGAGGCAGCAGGGGGGAAUAUUGCGCAAUGGGGGGAACCUGACGCAGCCAUGCCGCGUGAAUGAAGAAGGCCUUCGGGUUGUAAAGUUCUUUCGGUUGGGAGGCGUUACCUACAGAAGAAGCACCGGCUAACUCCGUGGCAGGAGCCGCGGUAAUAC
rnacentral:rRNA from 1 species